rnacentral:misc_RNA from 1 species
GACAGAGGGGGCAAGCGUUGUCCGGAUUUACUGGGCGUACAGCGCGCGCAGGCGGCCCGCGGCUGUGCCGGGUGACAGCCCACCGCUCAACGGCGGGUGGUCCCGGUAGACAGGCGGGCUCGAGGCAGGGAGAGGAUGGUGGAAUACCCGGUGGAGCGGUGAUAUGCGUAGAGAUCGGGUGGAACACCAGCGGCGAAGGCGGCCACCUGGCCCUGGCCUGACGCUGAGGCGCGAGAGCGUGGGGAGCGAACCGG